UUUUUUUUUUUUUUCCUUGUCUUUUUUAGGGCCAUACCCAUGGCAUAUAGAGGUUCCCAGGCUAGGGGCUGAAUUGGAGCUGUAGCCGCUGGCCUACGCCAGAGUCACAGCAACACAAGAUCAGAGCUGUGUCUGCGGCCUACACCACAGCUCAUGGCAGUGCCGGAUCUUUAACCCACUGAGCGAGGCCAGGGAUGGAACCUGCAACCUCAUGGUUCCUAGUUGGAUUCGUUCACCACUGAGCCAUUAUGGGAACUCCAGUACUGGAUCCUUUAACCCACUGUGCUGGGCCGGGGACCGAACCUGCCUCCUGGUGCUCCAGAGAUGCCACCGAUCCCCUUGCACCACAGCAGGAACUCCAAUAACUAUGAUUUUUUAGUUCUUGUUGGCUGGGACAAUAGGGAGAAUGCUAGAAGGAAGGCAAAGUGACUCAUCAUUUUAUCAUCCCUGGAAAACAUGAGUAUAAUAUUUAUUUUCCAGUGAUGGGCAUCUAAGGUUUUCCUUACUUUAUUUUGAUAGAAAUUAAAUUUGUUAGCUGUUCUGAAAUUGUGUCUGAUUCCUCUACGUGAUUCUUGCUAGGGCCCCUCCCAUCAUCCAUUUUUCUUUGGCUGAGACCAAAACAUGAUGCCUCUCUUGUUUCAUCGAUUUUCCUCUCCCUAGUUUAACUUCAGAGGGGAGUAGGUCCCCAAGGCUGCAGUCUAGUCGAAGAGCAAAGAUUAGGUCAAGGGCUCAAAACAGGAAGCUAAUCUUCUGACAGUCCACCUACCUCUGGCUCAUUGCAAAAGUAUUCAAAACAGGGGUAUUUUGCAUUAGACAUUUUUAGACAAUUCUCACAUUUAUUGGCCGACUCCUUCAUCACUAAUUAUGGUUAACAGAAACUCUGCAGUCCUUUUUACUGGUUUGAAAACAAUUCAAGGUGAAAAGCUGACACAUUUUAAAGAUGCCUUGCGGUCAGUGUCUUUAUACUCUUUUAAGAACUGGGUCUGAUAAACUGGUUUUCCAGGGAAGGGACUGGUAAAGAAAAGAGCCUCCAUUCCGAAGACAGGACUUUCCCUGGUGGUCAGAGACGGCCAGGGCAGUCGGUCUAAGUGGAUGGCUCACCUGGACACAAGUGGACAGGUCAGCAAUCACAUCCUUUUAGGGAAGGUAAGCGGCUCCCUGAAGCAUCAUUUCCCGUGAGGUUAUAGUUAAGUUCGGAGGUGCCUACCAGCCACUGGAUGUGAUCGGCUUUGCAUUUGGGCCUCCGUGUUAACUGAAUGACUAGCAGAAAGCCCUUUCUUUGUCUAGAAAGUAGAGGGUGCUUAGUUAAAUUGAGCUCAGGUACGUGGGGCAGUACCACGUGCCAGGCUGGGUACCCGGCGUUUUUUCACCAGACGCCAGUCUCACUUCAGGGAGCUCAGUGUCCAUCCCAGGAGGCAGAAGACUGCCUCUCAGCUGGCACCUGCCCCCCGAGCUCCUGAAAUGAUGCUCCUCCUUCCGAUCUCACUUUUCAAAAACAUGACUCAUAACUGAAAGCCUCUUAUUACCACGAUGAUCAUUCAAAUACAUGGAUCUGCAUUUGCCUGUUGAGACGUGAAUUCAGCUGCUCCAGGUGUUGGGAAUGGUAGCUCCCAACCAGAAGCAGAGCCAAGGGCUCCUGGAUGUUCAGUCAGGUUCCAGGGAUUGCAUCCAUCAGCACAAAGAUGCUGUGGCCCUCCGGCUCUGGUCACCUGCUGAGCAGGCAAGCCUUGAAGUUAUCACAUCAGGGCAAUUUCACUUGAAAACUGAAAUGCUUACUAUGUCUCACCCAGGCCCUGGUGAACAGGCUCAGACCUUGAAAUUUUUUUUUUUUUCUUUCAAGUUCACCUUUGGACACAACACACACAGAGUCUCUGUGUGAUCCUUCAAAGUCAGACCUUUGCCAUGUAGGAAGAGCUUGGCAGCUCUGGCCCUGGGCUCAGACGGGAAGGGUGUGGUGACUUUGGCUCAAGUUGAGCUGCCCUCCCUUUGAAUAAGUUGAUUCAGAAUAAAGUGGGCAGCUUUCCAAUGAAAGAACGUGUUACGGAGCAGGUAAACCAGUUUUGUAAGUAAGGAAAAGGCCAGGUGGACGGUUCUGCCCGCGCCCCUGCCCUACCUCUCCGUCCUCCAGCUCCACGUCUAGGAAGUCGAAGUCUCGGAAGACCCGGAACUGCUGCUCGCUGUUGGUGUCAUCCAUGUUCUCCUGCUCCCGGGCACCGUCCUCCGACGACACCAGGCUCGUCUGGUGCUCCAGCAGGUCCAGGUCCCCGCACGACGAGAAAAUCACCUGCGGGGCGAGAGCCCUGGCCUGAGACGCCGCGCGCCCUGCGGUCGUGUGUGCGCUUCCAAAACCAUCACUGGCGCCUCACGGCACUGUUUCCAGCACACACCUAAUUCCUCAAGCGGGUAUUUUUAGAAUGAAUGUUCUUCUAUUAUUUAUGUUGGACAGGUGCCUCCAGAUUACACUCAUCGCAAAGACGCAAGUUCAGGCACUGGGAAAAUGUGCAAGUCAAAUCGCUGCUUCCUAAUGAAGACUGGAUCCUACCUUUGUGUGUGUGUGUGUGUGUGUGUGUGUGUGUGUGUGUGUGAGAGAGAGAGAGAGAGACAGACAGACAGACAGACAGACAACGGAGGGUGUGUUCACAGACGACAGCAGUCCAGCAAAUUUUCCACUGUUGCCGAACUGGGGUUCGAAAGUACACACCUUCACACACAGACACACACACCACAUACAUCUCACCAUGUCAUAGUCUAAGAACUACUGAUGCCAAGCUAUGUUAUUGAAAAAUGAAUGUGCAGGAGCCAAGGAUUGAGCCCUUGUAGAAAUAAACGAGGAACUGCUAGGGCAAAUGAAACAGAAGUUGAAAACGCACAGCCCUUGUUCAUGUGACCGACAGGAAAGAGCUGAGCGGCAGUGCACAUAAUUCCUGCUUCAAUUCCUGUCCUCUUGAUAGAAACAAAAGUUUUUUCCUAUUGAAAUUUUGGUAUGUUUAGCUUUUACAAUUAACUUCUAGGUAUAAGUUCUUGUCACUUGGGCUAUUUUCACAGAACUCCGUAGAAAUAAGAGUGCAAAUGAACGUGAAGGUUUUGCCAGUCAACCUUGCCUGAUGGAGAGGUUCAAUAACAUGAAGAGUAUUCUUUGUUUAACCUCGGCAACGUCUUGGUCCUUCUUGAAAAUAAGAAGUCACUGGUAAGAAUUUAAACAUAACAAAUGUCUCUCAAAAGUAAAAGGAGUGAAUGGAUUUUACAUAUCCUUUCCCCCUCUCAGUUUAAGAAUAGACAUAGCACUAUGUCCCCAUAAACAGUCCAAGACUCGCGGGCGGUACAGAGACUGCAAAUGGGUACAUGAGGGAAGCAGCACGGAGGAGCAGCCAAUGGUCCUGGAGAGAUGAGAGACCAGAAUUCGGAUUUCCUCAGCUGAGGGCCCCCCGUCCCAGUUAGUGCUGCUUCUCUUAUUUGUAAUACAGUCUGGGUAAACCUUUCGAGCUAGAAAGGCCUCAGCACAGAAGCAGGCAGUGUGGAUCUAAAGGAGAAAGUGUGCCCACCGCAGUCGUAAGAAAGGCCCUGGCUGGUUGUGCUGCGCUGCAGAGGCAAAGGGCUUUUGAUCCUUUUCCGUGUGGGCUGGGCAGCUCCAUCUGCCUCUGCCUCUGUCUCCUUGUCCCUCUGCCCUCAAGGAGGUCACAGGGGCAGCAGCAAACCCACUGAUCAAUAACGCUCAGAAGGUGACAUCAGCGGAGGCCACACUGCUGGCUGAGGCACAUUCCCAGGCAAUUUGCAAUAUUUGCACUUUAGCGUGUAUCUAUGAGUCUCUUCACUUCGCCUGCUUGUAAGCUGCCUUAGUACAUACAUUCUGCAAUUUUCAAAGUAGCUCUACAGAGAAAUCGUGCGCUAGUCCUCACUUGGCUGGCGAAGUUAUUUAGUUUGCUAGUUUCUUUUUUGGUUAUGAAUAACGAUGCUCUGAUACAGAUGAAAUAAAAAUACCUGGUGAAGUUUUUACUGCUGAGAUUUUUUUUUAUUGCUUUUGCUACAAUAUACUCACCCACACAAUUUGGAUUUUCUAAAUUUUAUAAAAGCUUCAGAAGCGAGCUGCUAAUACUUCACUUAUUCAUUUAUUCCAAAGUCCAAUGGCAUUUUUUUUUUUCAACUGCAACCCCAGUGGAAGUUUAUAGCCCAAAAAACCAUGAUAGUGUAUCAUUAUUUUCACCUUUAUCAUACAUGAGAGUAAAACAUUGAUAUUGGAGCAAGAGAUGUGUGUACAGAGAGUACAAUUAUACCCCAAAGCAGUGUGUAUCAUAUGUGGUGAUACAGGAGAUAGUGAUAUAUACAUAUUUUAAGGAAGUCUGGGCAUACUUUAAAAAAAAACCAAGGUAGCAAAAAAUGAAAACAACUGAGUUUUUAAUUUUUAAAAAUUAAAAAAAAAUUUUAGCUACACUCACAUCAUGUGGAAGUUCUUAGGCUGGGAAUGAACCCAAGCCACAGCAGCAAUAUGAGCCACUGCAGUGACAAUUCUGGAUGCUCGACCUGCUGUGCUACAAGGCAACUCCAAUGACCGAGUUUUGCUUUACAGACAAACCAGAGCAAAUAGCCAAUGACAUCUUUUACUUCCUCAACAAAGUGAGAUUAAAAAUCAGUGUGGGAGUUCCCGCUGUGGCUCAGUGGAAAUGAACCCGACUAGCAUCCAUGAAGAUGCGGCUUUGAUCUCUGGCCCCACUCAGUGGGUUAAGGAUCUGGCGUUGCCAUGAGUUGUGGUGUAGGUCACAGAUGCGGGUCAGAUCUGGUGUUGCUGUGGCUGUGGCAUAGACCAGCGGCUAUAGUUCCAAUUUGACUCCUAGACAGGGAACUUCCAUAUGCCACAGGCAUGGCCCUAAAAAAAAAAAAGAAAAAGAAAAAAAUCAGUGUGGAGAGAAAUAAUCUAGAGAUUGAACUGGAUGGUGGAUACCAUACUCGUACUUCCUAGUUGGGUCCUCUAAACUAUAUGACCCGAGGCAAAAACAUACCAAAGAUAAACAGGAUAAUGCAGCCAAAAUAAGUGUGAGUCAUGAAAGAACUUACGGAUGGAUUUUUGCUUAGUCCUACUUCUUGGCCACACAGAGAAAGGACAUGAACCAACUUCUCUUUCGUCCUCUUCUGGAAAAGAAACACACAGGUAGGUUUUCAUCAUGGGGUUCUGUGAUCCAAUCUGUUCUAACACUCCAGCCACUGGCCACCCAGGCCUAACCCACCUGAAAUGGGGCCAGUGAGAAUGGAGAUGGAAAAUACACAGAGAAGGUAUGAAAAAAGAAGGUAAAAUAUCUCAUCAAUAAUUAUGAAAUAUUGAUUGGGUUGAAAAACAAUAUUUUAGGUAUAUUACAUUAACCGAAAUAUGUUAUUGACAUGACUCUUGCCCAUUUUGUUUUAUUUUUUUCAAAAGGUGACUAUUAGAAAAAUUACACAGAAAUAUAUAUUUAUUUAUUGAUUUGGUCUUUUUAGGGCCACACCUGUUGCAUAUGGAGGUUCCCAGUCUAGAGGUGGAAUCAGAGCUGCAGCCGCCAGCCUACACCAUAGCCACAGCAAUGCCAGAUCCUUAACCCACUGAGAGAGGUCAGGGUUUGAACACACAUCCUUACGGAGACUGCAAUGGGUUCUUAACCCACUGAGCCACAGUGGAAACUCCUAGAAACUUUAAAAUGAGGCUCAGGUUAUGUUUCUCCUGGACAAGGGCUGAUCUAAGUUUUCCCAAGGGAGGGGAUGUGAGAAUCAAGCCUUCAUCUCUUAGGCAGAUACUCAUCACUCCCCUGGGCCAUCUCUUCCCGUGGGCGACAGCUUGCAGCAUUAGUAAGGCUUUCCGUUACACCUAAAUAAACUCUACUAUGUCACAACACAAAUCUAUUUGCCUCAAGAGGGAGGCUAGCUUAUUUUCUGCAGAAUUAAAAAUGUCAACUCUUUGUAGGCUACAGUCAAGCUUUCUCAGUGUGGUCCUCCUAGAGUCAAACAGAUUCGAUUCCUUUUGUUUUUCUUCGGAAACUCGACUUUCCAGUCCCUGAAGCCCGGGGAUUCUUCUACGAACCACCCCAUUUUCUAAUGACAUGGAUACAUCAGGUCCCAGUAUGAUGGGUGAAUUGAGGGUGAGAAGGAUGAGUAACCAGACCUAAAGGACGUUACUGUGCUUCAGAGCUGCUUUUAGAGCAAGCGUCCUAAUCUCUUGAAAAUGAUAUUUUCCCUUUUAAUCUGAUGUAAGUCACCAUGGAGACGACAGGGAGGCCAUUAUCAAGCACAGAUUUUCCCUCCUCAUGGAACUCGCGUCCCUGCACACUUCUUUUUAAAUUGCAGACGGGACACUCAGGAUAGUGUCAUUUCAAGGUCAAGGACAGGAGGGCCUUGAUGUUGAAAGAUGGCAGGAGAUUCACUAACCUAUGUCCUUAUGUUUUAGAGGGCAUUUUACAAUUUGGGGAAGGAAUCGAUAGGACGGAACAGGGAAUGGGGCUGUACGUUUUUCUUCUUUUUUUCAAAGCCCCAGCAAAGCAGGGCAGCUUCUCUAUUCAGCGGCAGCAGGAGGAGCAUGAGGCUGUGUCCUGCGGGGCACACACGGGACGGGUUGAUCUCUGCAGGGCACUCACUUCUGUCUUCGGGGAACGCGGUCCCUCUUUUUAUCUUGGGAGCAGCUCUUCUCCCACCAAAUGGGGCUUUGCCUCCCCUCACACAUACUGCAAGACUCCUUCGACGGGCACGGCUGUGGACGUGGGGGAGCGAGGGCCCCUGUCCUGACAUCCCCGGAGCCCAAGACCAUGUAAAGGUGGAGCUGCCAGAGGUCGCCGGUGCCACUGAGUCUGCAUGACAGUGACGUCAGCAGAGAGGAAGGCAGGGCCAAGACUUGGGAAGCAAAGGUGGGAACAGGGAGGAGAGGGAGGGGCCGGGGAUUCUGUGCCCUGGCAGCGGCUCUGCCGAAAGCCACCCUGCAGGAGUGAGUUGAUGCAUUCCUUUUCCACGCAGGCUAGUUUUACACGGGGCGUCUGGCACAAGCCACCAAAAGAGCCGUGAAUAAUGCAGGGGUUUUACCUGGCAGGACGUCCAGUGAUAUCAUCACUGUGAUACGGUCACCCACAGAGUGACUAGGGAUAACAGGGCCACCGAGACACCUUGGUGCCAGCAAUGCUCCCCAGGGCUCAGCGUGCAGGAGCCCAAGACUGGAGGCUGGCUCGCAGGACAGCAGCCAGAGUGGUCACCAGGCGGGCGGCCCUGGUGUCCAAGACUGGUUGGGAGAGCGAAGGGUGUAUUUGCAGAAAAGAGGGCCCAUCUGGGUGGGCGGCAGAGAGGGUUCAAGCGUGUGAAAGACACCAGAUUUCACUGCCCA
rnacentral:lncRNA from 1 species